UACGAAGGGGGCUAGCGUUGUUCGGAUUUACUGGGCGUAAAGCGCGCGUAGGCGGAUGAAUUAGUUAGAGGUGAAAUCCCAGGGCUCAACCCUGGAACUGCCUUUAAUACUGUUUAUCUAGAGUAUGAAAGAGGUGAGUGGAAUUCCGAGUGUAGAGGUGAAAUUCGUAGAUAUUCGGAGGAACAUCAGUGGCGAAGGCGGCUCACUGGUUCAUUACUGACGCUGAGGUGCGAAAGCGUGGGGAGCAAAC
rnacentral:rRNA from 1 species